AUAUUUGAAGAGCUGCUCAAACAAACACCCUGCCUUUACACACAUUUAUGGACCACACAUUUCCAGUACUAACAUUAAGAGACUGUCCUAUAGAAAUUAGAGAAAAACAUCGUAUAUUUAAAAACUCUAAUUUUUGUUCCCCAAGUAUGGAACAAAACUGAGUUUAUUUCUCUGCCUGUGAUAUUCUCAUAUUUCAGUACAUCUGCGUCUCUUUCGCACGCUCUCUCUCCGCUCCCUGUCUCCUCACACACGCAUGCGUCAAUCGGCAGCUUGUAACAAGAAGAUUUCCAGCAUAUCUUUCUGUGGAAAUCCUGAAAUUAUCGUUUAAAAAAUUUUCUUUUCGGGAGAAAAAUCCUCCUCACCCCGACCCAGAGAACAGUGUAGCCCACAGCUGAGGACGCCCCCGACUUUUUUUUUUUUCAGUACAAGCGCCGAUCGGAUCCCUGCAAAAAGAAAAAAGCUCCUGAAAUCCUCCCAGUCGGCAGAGUAUGAUGUUCAUCUGCAACAACGAGCAGCCAGGAACACUUCAAGAAAGACCUUGAGAAUACACCUCACUUUCUGAUGUCCAAGCAUCCACCAGUCAUCUCUAGGUCACUACCAGUGCCACCACUGAGUCUGGGACCUGAACUUCAAGAAGUGGUGCAAAGCUCCCAUGAGUCAGACUUUUGCAUCCUGAAUUAUGAAGGUGGACAAAACAGCUGCUUGUGAAAUCUGACCUAAUGUAACAGAA